AUAGCAUUGUGGUCCCACCUGAUCCCAUCCCGAACUCAGAAGUGAAACGCAAUCGCGCCGAUGGUAGUGUGGGGUCUCCCCAUGUGAGAGUAGGU
rnacentral:rRNA from 1 species